rnacentral:pre_miRNA from 1 species
UCAGUACUCCCUCCGUCCGGAAUUACUUGUCAUCAAAAUGGAUAAAAAUGAAUGUAUCUAGAACUAAAAUACAUCUAGAUACAUCCAUUUCAAUGACAAGUAUUUCCGGACGGAGGGAGUACUCA